rnacentral:rRNA from 1 species
GUACGGGAGGCAGCAGUGAGGAAUAUUGGUCAAUGGGGGCAACCCUGAACCAGCCAUGCCGCGUGAAGGAAGACGGCCCUAAGGGUUGUAAACUUCUUUUGUACUGGGGUAAAAGUAGGUUUGCGAACUUACGUGAAAGUACGGUACGAAUAAGCAUCGGCUAACUCCGUGCCAGCAGCCGCGGUAAUACGGAGGAUGCAAGCGUUAUCCGGAUUUAUUGGGUUUAAAGGGUGCGUAGGCGGGUAUUUAAGUCAGUGGUGAAAGACUGUUGCUUAACGAUAGCAUUGCCAUUGAUACUGAAUAUCUUGAGUAUAAUUGAGGUAGGCGGAAUGUGUAGUGUAGCGGUGAAAUGCUUAGAUAUUACACAGAACACCGAUUGCGAAGGCAGCUUACUAAAUUAGAACUGACGCUGAGGCACGAAAGCGUGGGGAUCAAACAGGAUUAGAAACCCUAGUAGUCCG